rnacentral:tRNA from 1 species
GCCGGCUUAGCUCAGUUGGUAGAGCAUCUGAUUUGUAAUCAGAGGGUCGCGUUUUCAAGUCAUGUAGCCGGCA